rnacentral:rRNA from 1 species
UUAGCCCUAAACACAAAUAAUUAUAAAAACAAAAUUAUUCGCCAGAGUACUACCGGCAACAGCCCGAAACUCAAAGGACUUGGCGGUGCUUUAUACCCUUCUAGAGGAGCCUGUUCUAUAAUCGAUAAACCCCGAUAAACCUCACCAAUCCUUGCUAAUACAGUCUAUAUACCGCCAUCUUCAGCAAACCCUAAAAAANNNACAAAAGUAAGCUCAAUAAUAACACAUAAAGACGUUAGGUCAAGGUGUAACCUAU